AAGGUGGCGGCGCGGACGGCGAUCGGGUUCGUCGUCAUGGGGUUCGUCGGCUUCUUCGUCAAGCUCAUCUUCAUCCCCAUCAACAACAUCAUCGUCGGCUCCGGCUAG
rnacentral:rRNA from 1 species